rnacentral:lncRNA from 1 species
UGGAUGAAAUUGGAAAUCAUCAUUCUCAGUAAACUAUCACAAGAACAAAAAAUCAUUUCUUAUUCUCACUUUUGUUUCCAGAUUCCUUCAAUUAGAGUGCCUCUGAAAGACAGGGUGUAUUCCAGCUGGCAUUGGGACAACCUAAAGUUUAAACCUUUGGGUGAAAAAGUGCCAACUUGGGAGACAUAUUAUCAAGACUGAAUCAGAGAGUUGACAGCAUACCAGGAAGUGUCACUGUAUAGUUUGGAAGAUGGAAAUCAUACUACUUUUUUCCCAUGUAAGCACUCCAGGAAAUUAACCUCCAAAUACAACUGAGGAAUAGGCACCGUUAUGGCUUUUUUACAGAUCAAUAAACUGAUGAAAUACGGUGAAGCUAUGUAAGUAGACCAAAGAUGUACAAGAAGACACACAUUGAGCAGAAAAUAAAUUUAAGCCUGGCUUC